UGGGGAAUAUUGCACAAUGGGCGCAAGCCUGAUGCAGCCAUGCCGCGUGUAUGAAGAAGGCCUUCGGGUUGUAAAGUACUUUCAGCGGGGAGGAAGGGAGUAAAGUUAAUACCUUUGCUCAUUGACGUUACCCGCAGAAGAAGCACCGGCUAACUCCGUACCAGCAGCCGUGGUAAUACGGAGGGUGCAAGCGUUAAUCGGAAUUACUGGGCGUAAAGCGCACGCAGGCGGUUUGUUAAGUCAGAUGUGAAAUCCCCGGGCUCAACCUGGGAACUGCAUCUGAUACUGGCAAGCUUGAGUCUCGUAGAGGGGGGUAGAAUUCCAGGUGUAGCGGUGAAAUGCGUAGAGAUCUGGAGGAAUACCGGUGGCGAAGGCGGCCCCCUGGACGAAGACUGACGCUCAGGUGCGAAAGCGUGGGGAGCAAACAGG
rnacentral:rRNA from 1 species